rnacentral:rRNA from 1 species
UUGACCUCGGAUCAGGUAGGAAUACCCGCUGAACUUAAGCAUAUCAUAUAGGGGGAAGAAAGA